rnacentral:lncRNA from 1 species
CUUUAAGAAUUUUUCAUCAAUAGGUUGUAUUUUAAAAUAAUUUUCUUAAAAACUGCUAUUUUUGGAAAGUUUUCAUUUUUUAGAGAAAUAUUGUAGAUUGGGUUUGUGAUUUAGAAAUUAAGACAAAAGGAUUAUUUGUGGAUAGAUGAGUAUUCUUUAAGAAUUUUUCAUCAAUAGGUUGUAUUUUAAAAUAAUUUUCUUAAAAACUGCUAUAUUUGGAAAGUAUUCAUUUUCAGAGAAUUAUUAUAGAUUUGAGUUUCUAAUUUAGAAUUAGGACAACAAGAAUAUUUGUGAUAGAUGAGUAUUCUUUCAGAGUUUUUCAUUAGUUGGUUAUAUUUUUAAAUAAUUUUCUUAAAAACUGCUAUUUUUGAAAAGUUUUCAUUUUUUUAGAGAAAUAAUGUUGAUUAGGGUUUGUGAUUUAAAAAUUAGGGGUUUGUGAUUUAAAAAUUAGGAUAACUAGACUAUUUAUGGAAAGACGAAUACUUUUUAAGUAAUUUUCAUCAAUAUGUUGUAUUUUUAAAUAAUUUUCUUAAAAACUGCUAUUUUUGGAAAGUUUUCAUUUUUUAGAGAAAUAUUGUAGAUUUGGGUUUAUGAUUUAAAAAUUAGGACAACUAGACUAUUUGUGGACAGAUGAAUAAUCUUUAAGAAUUUUUCAUCAAUAUGUUGUAUUUUUAAAUAAUUUUCUUAAAAACUGCUAUUUUUAGAAAGUUUUN